rnacentral:rRNA from 1 species
GACAGAGGUGCCAAGCGUUAGGCGGAAUCACUGGGCUUAAAGCGUGUGUAGGCGGGUGCCUAAGUAACUUGUGAAAUCCCACGGCUCAACCGUGGAACGGCUGGGUAUACUGGGUGCCUUGGGUCAUCCAGGGGCUGCCGGAACAAAUGGUGGAGCGGUGAAAUGCGUAGAUAUCGGAAGGAACACCUGUGGCGAAAGCGGCUCACUGGACAAUAACUGACGCUGAUGCACGAAGGCUAGGGGAGCAAACAGG